AAGAACAGAAAGCUCCAAACAGGCACCAGAUGGAAAUUUUUAACCUGACUGCGUAUUUUCUUUGGCUCAACUUAGGCAUACUGCGUGUAGCAGGAAAUGUACCAGAGUUACCUACUGCAUGUUGCCUUCCUGCAGGUUAUUGUUAUGUUUGAUUUUUGAUGGACUAACAGAAGCAUUUCUUAUCACUUUUUAGUCAAUGGCUGAAUAUACUGAAAAAAGUGAAAAAGAGCCUCUCAUCACCGAUCAGUCCAUGUAAACGACAUCGGCUGCCGCCCCCACACAUUAAACUCCAAGAUCUGGUGGCCGAGCAAAUCCUGGACAAAGACCCCCCAACUCCACCGCUCUGCAACACAGAAGCAGACUCCCCAGGGCCAACGGCUUGUGCUUCCCUCAGGGAGAAAGGCCGGAGUUCUCCCCGCACGAGGCAAUACAAAGGUGGUGCACAUCCAGCUGGGUGUCUGCGCCACGGCACCAUCGGUAAUGCCGAUGCAAUGAAGGCGGUUUAUCUGCUGAUGGGAGGAGCUGCUGCUUCCUCUGCUAUGGGUUACCUAGGCGCAUGCUCGAUCCCUAAUCUGGGAGCCAAAGCUCCUGAUCUGCCACUCAACUCGGAUUUCCCUGGCGUGGGAGCAACAGGAGUGUACAACGCCGCAGGGCCCGCACUCGACUCCAUUCACUGCAACACCUUUGACUUUGAAGUGGCAGACUCUGAUUUUGAUGCUUUUGAUUGUGGUGGAUUUAGUUUCUAAUGAUGUGCUGGAGAGGCUAUGGAUGCAUGUAGCUGAAAUAAUGCUGUAAAAGUAUCUAACAUGUCAUCAUGAUUACUCAGAAUGACGAACAAUGUUUUUUUUCAGGAAAGAAAUGCUAUGAAAUGAAAUGUACUGCAGAAAUAACCGUGUCUAUAACCUGUGUUGGUUUCUUUAGAUAAUUUCCCUAUCAAGACAACUGUAAAUAUUUCAUUUUACAUAACCGACCCAUUUUGAAUCCCUAAAGUAAGGCUUAACUGUGGGCCUGGCUGUUUGUUUGGUUCCUUCUCAGGUUGCUCUCUGCUUGGUAGUAAAAAAAUAAGUAAAGUAAAAAUGAUAUCUUAAAUUGUCCAAUGAAGUCCAACCAUGUGAUUUGUGAAUUUGUUUAUAAUUGCAAGAAUGCAAAACAUGAAAUGUUUAGUUUCAGUUAACAUCUGUUUCUUUACAAAUUGACCUUCAGAGGCUCUUCCACUUUUUUUGAUCCUUACGGCUUUCAUUCAAAUAUCUAGUUGUUGCUGUGGUUUGUAUCUAAAUGAGGUAAAAAACGGAUUCACGUCUA